rnacentral:tRNA from 1 species
UCCCUGGUGGCCUAGUGAGUUAAGGAUCUGACAUUGUCACUGCAGCAACUCAGGUUCAAUCCCUGGCCUGGGAA